GAUGAACGCUAGCGGCAGGCCUCAUACAUGCAAGUCGAGGGGCAGCAUGAUGCUUCGGCAUCGAUGGCGACCGGCAGACGGGUGCGUAACGCGUAUACAAUCUGCCUUGCACUGGGAGAUAGCUUUCAGAAAUGAAAAUUAAUAUCCCAUAUUAUGUCAGUAGUGCAUGCUAUUGACAUGAAAGCUCCGGCGGUGCAAGAUGAGUAUGCGUCCUAUUAGCUAGUUGGUGGGGUAAUAGCCCACCAAGGCGACGAUAGGUAGGGGUUCUGAGAGGAAGAUCCCCCACACUGGCACUGAGACACGGGCCAGACUCCUACGGGAGGCAGCAGUAGGGAAUAUUGGUCAAUGGACGCAAGUCUGAACCAGCCAUGCCGCGUGAAGGAUUGAAGGUCCUUAGGAUCGUAAACUUCUUUUGUGCAGGAACAAAAAGCUUCUGAGGAAGCCAUUGAGGGUACUGCAAGAAUAAGCACCGGCUAACUCCG
rnacentral:rRNA from 1 species